rnacentral:lncRNA from 1 species
CCAAGACCUAGCUCCACUGUGAUGAAGCCUGUAAAGAAAGACAUACAUGAACACACAAAUAAGGCAAUGCAUUUUCUUACGCAGCUGAAAGGUACAAGAGAGGACCAGGUUAUCAAAAAUGUCUUCAGGGUGUACCCAAAGCAACCAAUGGAACAAAGAAUUGGACAAAACGCACAAACAAAGCAAGAAGGAAUGAAGGGUUUUAUUGAAAAUGAAAGUACACUCCACAGUGUGGGAGUGGGCCUGAGCAGAGGGGCUCAAAGGCCCCAUUGUAGAAUUUUGGGGAGUUUAAAUAUCCCCAAGAACCUGAACAACCUCUGCCGUUAACAUAUUUUGGUGACCCGGGAAGGAGGAAGAGGU